GACGAACGCUGGCGGCGUGCCUAAUACAUGCAAGUAGAACGCUGAAGGAGGAGCUUGCUCUUCUGGAUGAGUUGCGAACGGGUGAGUAACGCGUAGGUAACCUGCCUGGUAGCGGGGGAUAACUAUUGGAAACGAUAGCUAAUACCGCAUAACAGUAGAUGUUGCAUGACAUUUACUUAAAAGGUGCAAUUGCAUCACUACCAGAUGGACCUGCGUUGUAUUAGCUAGUUGGUGGGGUAACGGCUCACCAAGGCGACGAUACAUAGCCGACCUGGGAGGGUGAUCGGCCACACUGGGACUGAGACACGGCCCAGACUCCUACGGGAGGCAGCAGUAGGGAAUCUUCGGCAAUGGACGGAAGUCUGACCGAGCAACGCCGCGUGAGUGAAGAAGGUUUUCGGAUCGUAAAGCUCUGUUGUAAGAGAAGAACGAGUGUGAGAGUGGAAAGUUCACACUGUGACGGUAUCUUACCAGAAAGGGACGGCUAACUACGUG
rnacentral:rRNA from 1 species